AGUGAACGCUGGCGGUAGGCCUAACACAUGCAAGUCGAACGGCAGCACAGUAAGAGCUUGCUCUUACGGGUGGCGAGUGGCGGACGGGUGAGGAAUACAUCGGAAUCUACUUUUUCGUGGGGGAUAACGUAGGGAAACUUACGCUAAUACCGCAUACGACCUACGGGUGAAAUCAGGGGAUCUUCGGACCUUGCGCGAUUCAAUGAGCCGAUGUCGGAUUAGCUAGUUGGCGGGGUAAAGGCCCACCAAGGCGACGAUCCGUAGCUGGUCUGAGAGGAUGAUCAGCCACACGGGAACUGAGACACGGUCAAGACUCCUACGGGAGGCAGCAGUGGGGAAUAUUGGACAAUGGGCGCAAGCCUGCUCCAGCCAUACCGCGUGGGUGAAGAAGGCCUUCGGGUUGUAAAGCCCUUUUGUUGGGAAAGAAAAGCAGCAGGUUAAUACCCCGCUGUUCUGACGGUACCAAAAGAAUAAGCACCGGCUAACUUCGU
rnacentral:rRNA from 1 species